CCCAGCGGUCAGUCAGCUGUGCAGGCCUGUCCCGUGCCUGAGCCAGUGUUACACUGCUGGGAGAGAAAGGCAUUGCCAUCAGAGCUCUGUCCAGCUACCACCGUUUUGGUGGUGGCCGUGACUGGGCGAUGGCAGUGCAGUAGCCCCUCUGAGAGUGGAACGUCUCUGGAUGCACCGGAGCAUUCCUAGUCUGGGGUCAAACAUG